UUCUAGCUCUCUCUCUCUCUCUCUUCCCAUGUUGUUUGAUUUGUCUUAAUCCACGCGCCAUUUGCUCUCUCUCUUUCACUUUCGUUUGUUCAUUAUACAGUUAUACUACACCAUUUUGUUUCACACUCUCUCUUUGAACAAAAACCCAGUUGGCUUUUCAAAAAAAAAAAAAAAAAACCCAGUUGGAGUUUUUAUAGUUUCAAACCGCCAGAUCUGUCUCUACAGUGCUAGGAAAAUGGGGUUAAUCUCCAGAAAGAUUUUCCCAGCAUGUGAGAGCAUGUGUGUUUGUUGUCCUGCUUUGAGAUCAAGCUCUCGACAACCCGUUAAGCGUUACAAAAAACUGCUUGCAGAGAUCUUUCCUAAGUCUCUUGAUGGCCCUCCAAAUGAAAGAAAAAUUGUUAAGUUAUGUGAAUAUGCUGCAAAAAACCCGGUUCGGAUCCCUAAGAUAGCGAAGUAUCUUGAAGAAAGGUGCUACAAAGAACUGCGAGUUGAACACAUCAAGUUCAUCAAUAUUGUUACGGAGGCCUACAAUAAGUUGCUUUGUAUUUGUAAGAAACAGAUGGCAUAUUUUGCUGUUAGUCUGCUGAAUGUGGUUACUGAACUUUUGGAUAACUCUAAGCAAGAUGCUAUGCGUAUACUUGGAUGCCAAACCUUAACAAGGUUCAUCUACAGUCAGGCAGAUGGCACUUACGCACAUAACAUUGAAAAGUUGGUUCGAAAAGUAUGCGCUCUGGCUCGUGAGAAAGGGGAAGAACAUCAAAGCCCCUGCUUAAGGGCAUCAAGCUUGCAGUGCCUAUCAGCCAUGGUGUGGUUUAUGGCACAGUUCUCACAUAUUUUUGCGGAUUUUGAUGAGAUUGUACAUGUCACUUUAGAUAACUAUGAGCCUGAUACUCAUAAUGACGGUGAUGUUGAGAGAGGGGAGCCACAUCAUAAUUGGGUGGAUGAAGUUGUUAGAUGUGAGGGCAGAGGUGGUGCAGUUGCAAGUUGUGAUACUAGCCCUAGCUGCAUGAACUUGAGGCCAAGACCAGAAAAGAAGGAUCCUUCUCUUUUGACAAGAGAGGAGAUUGAGAUGCCAAAAGUAUGGGCACAAAUAUGCAUCCAAAGAAUGGCUGAAUUAGCCAAGGAGAGUUCAACAAUGCGCAGGGUACUUGAUCCGAUGUUUGGUUAUUUUGAUUCUGGACGUCACUGGGUGCCUCAGCAGGGGCUGGCUAUAAUGGUUUUGUCCGAUGUGUUGUAUUUCAUGGACAGUUCAGGGAAUCAGCAGUUGAUUUUAGCUUCUUUGAUCCGUCAUCUAGACCACAAAAAUGUUGCACAUGAUCCACAGCUCAAGUCUUAUGUCAUUCAAGUGGCUACUGCUUUAGCUAGGCAAAUUAGAUCAGGAGUUGUGCUGGCAGAAAUUGGAUUUGUCUGUGACCUAUGCAGGCAUCUGAGAAAAAGUCUUCAAGCCACAGUUGAAUCAGUUGGUGAGCAAGAGUCAAACUCGAAUAUAUUACUGCAGAAUUCCAUUGAAGGCUGUCUGCUUGAAAUUGCAAAAGGGAUUGGUGAUGCACGGCCGCUAUUUGACCUGAUGGCUAUAACCCUGGAGAAGUUGCCAUCUGCAGCUGUUGCCAGGGCAACCAUUGGAUCAUUAAUGAUUCUUGCUCAUGUGAUCUCAGUGGCAUCAGUCUCUUCACGGUCUCAGCAGGUCUUUCCAGAAACCCUUCUUAUCCAAUUGUUGAAAGUGAUGUUACACCCAGAUGUUGAGGCACGAGUUGGAGCACAUCAUAUAUUUUCCGCUCUUUUAAUUCCCAGCUCUAAUCAUCCCCGACAUGAAGUUGCUUCUCUGAGAAGUGGUUUUUUAUACCAACCAAGAAGAUGGCACUCAAAUACUGCAUCUGCAUCAAUUACAGCUCUACUUGAAAAGCUCCGGAGAGAAAAAGAUGGCAUCAAAGCAGAAGAGCGUGGGAAUAGUGUUCAAGAUGAUUUUAAAGAAAGGGACAUUGCAGAAGAAGACUGGAAGCAAGGCCGUGUCCGCAAAAAUUCUCCUAACUUUUACAAAAUUAGCUCUAUUAUUGACAGGACAGCUGGGGCAACCAGCCUGUCUGAGGCUGAACCACAUAUUAUGAAGUUUAGUGAGGAUCAAGUAGCACAGUUGCUAUCUGCCUUUUGGAUGCAAGCCAAUCUUCCAGAUAAUUUACCUUCAAAUUUUGAAGCUAUAGCACAUUCUUUUGUUUUAACACUUAUUUCUUCAGGCUUAAAGAACCCAAACGACAGCCUUGUGGUCCGAUUCUUUCAGCUUCCCCUGUCUCUCAGGAAUAUAUCCUUGGAUCCUAACAAUGGGGUGUUGUCUCCAGCAUGCCAAAGAUCUAUUUUUGUAUUAUCAACAGGCAUGUUGAUGUUUGCUGCAAAGAUAUAUCACAUUCCUGAUCUGAAUGAUUUGCUCAAGUCAUUAGUUCCAUGUGAUGUUGAUCCGUAUCUGGGUCUUAGCGAUGACCUUCAAGUAUAUGUAAGGCCUCAGAUGGAUAUCAGAGGAUAUGGAUCUGUUACUGAUAAUCAACUCGCUACAUCAUUGCUCCUGGAGUUGAGGAACAAGACAUAUGAAUCUGAAAAUAUCAUAAUGGACAUUUUAGUUCAGAAUCUGUCUAGCAUUACUGAGGUGGCUGCAGAUGACCUGACUAAGCAACUGUCAGAAUCAUUCACACCUGAUGAUGCAUUCAUGUUUGGUCCACGAUCAAUACUUGAAUUCGACCACAGUCAAACAGUUUCCCAUUCCAAGGAAUCAUUGUCCUUUGAUGGGAUGACAAUUGUUAACAACGAUUUAGUCAUUUAGCUGUUCAACAGCCCAACCUGCCUCAGACCUGCCUCAGCUCAUCAAACAAUAUGUUUGUGCUACAUAACUAUUGGCCUUGCUUGUUGCUUAUGAUGCAGGAUUAUCCAACAAAUUCAUUAGUUGAGGAUGAUGCAAUAAGUGAAGCAUCUGUUGCAGACAUCUCUCGCUUCAUCCCCAGAAUGCCGCCUUCUCCAUGUGUGCCCCAUGUUAUCAGCAUUGGACAGCUUCUGGAAUCGGCACUUGAGGUAGCUGGGCAAGUGGUAGGAACGUCUGUGACUACAUCACCCCUACCAUACAAUACCAUGGCUAGCCAGUGUGAAGCGCUUGGCACAGGCACAAGGAAGAAACUCUCCAAUUGGUUGGCACAUGAAAAUCACCAAAGUAGACUAGUUGACAAAUUAUCUCCAGCGUUUCCUGCAGAUGGACACUUAGCACUCAAAAGGAUAACAAGUAUCGAUCAUCGUGCUCAGGGAGCUGUGUUGCCACAGGACCCAUGGUUGUCUAUGAGGCUGCCUCCUGCCAGCCCCUUUGACAACUUCCUCAAGGCAGCUGGGUGUUAGAAGAGAAGCCACAUUCUGUCUAUUUAGUGCUAACUAUCUUGUAAAGUCUUUUCUAGGAAGUAACUAGGAUUAGCUGCUUAACCUUUAAUUUGUACUUAUUUGUGGGCUUCAAUGCCAGCUUACCAUGUCUUCUUUGUACUUAAAUGUAGUGCUAGGAACAGCAUAGCUUGCAGAAUUCAGCUCUCUCUCUCUCUCAUAUUAUACCAUGGUCCCUAAUUUUUUUCAAAGUUUAAAAA